AUAGUUCAAUCCUCGUCAUGGAUCUACACGUGUGUAGUCCGGCUUGUGCCGUGCCUAGGUGGCCCCGUGGUAGUCCAACAUUCCCCCGUAAAGAAUGAGCCUGUCCCACGUCGGUCCACUUCGGCGCUCCCUCCCGCACGGGCGAGCUUGCGUCGCGUAGGCUAUCUCCGGAGUGCCGGCUUGUGGGGAGCGACCCUCACAAGCUUGUGCGAAUGAGCACAAUGGCAAGCAAGCAUGAUCAAAUAGUAUCCAGCUCUCAGUCAUCAUGUCUAAAACAUGGAAUAAGUACCAAC
rnacentral:lncRNA from 1 species